GAUGAACGCUGGCGGCGUGCUUAACACAUGCAAGUCGAACGGAAGGGCCUCUUUCGGGGGGUACUCGAGUGGCCGACGGGUGAGUAACACGUGCGUAACCUGCCCUUGACUUUGGGUUAACUUCAGGCAACUGAGGCUAGUACCGGCUAGGUGCUCCUGUUGCCUGGUGGGGGCUGGAGAGGUUGGGCGGCUUGGGAUGGACUCGGGGCGUAUCCGCGUUUUGGUGGGGUAGUGGCUUAGCAAGGCUUUGACGGGGAGCCGGCCUGGGAGAGUGGAGGGCCACAUUGGGACUGAGCGACAGGCCACAGUCCGACGGGAGGCAGCAGUGGCGAAUAUUGGACAAAUGGGUGGAGGCCUGAUGCAGCAACGCCGUGGGCGGGAUGACUCUGUUCGGGGUGUAGACCGUUUUCGCUCAUGACGAAGCUUUGUGUGACGGUAGUGGAUAAAGAAGCAACGGCUAACUACGUG
rnacentral:rRNA from 1 species